GUGGACUUAUUUGCUGUCUGGAGGACACAAAAUCUGGAUUCUGGUUCUGGAGUGAUCCAUAAUCUCUGCACUGCUUCAAAGCAACAAACAAUCCAGAAAACACACAAGAUGCCCUGCAAGCAGCUGGUGGAGCCAUUGACAUGGUAGAAAAUGAUCGUACUGCGUAUUCACAAGAAGUGAGUUUGAGGCUGAUCCGAAUGCUUGCGGUUCUCCACGCACCCCAGAGACAUACGACGCAGCUGUUGCUGAUCUUCAGGCUGAAAACAUCUGAGAAGUCAGAGGAAUAAAGUUCAUAGGACAGUCGUGCUAUUCCUCAACAAGGUACCUGCUGAGUCUGGAUCGGACUCUUAUCAACACAAACAUCCCUUCCUUCAUUUCUGCGUUGUGCCGAAUGUUCGGGAGCUACUACUGUUUCAACAUCCAUUAUCCAUCUGAGCUGGCUUCAACUCUGGAAUUUCUUCAAAGGUGUUUUUUCUCGAUAAACCCUGAAAAAGGAACUAAAGUGGAGAAUAAAAACUCAAAGCGUGGUCUCAGCGUGAACCCUCGAGUCCUCACCCUGAUACAGGAACUCUCCGAUCAUGAGUGGUGUGACACCUAAAUAAGGAUCUUUCUGUGGACUCUUUGUUCAUCGAAGAGGUUCUGCAAGUUGUUGCUUUGUGGACGGUUCCUUGGAGAAAAAGUGCUACAAGUUUCUGCUUUCAAUCUAUCAUUUGUAUUGUGUUAAUUAAAGCAUAGGCAGCUUUGUUAUCGUUUUUGUUUGAAGUGUUAAGGUAACUUCUUAAAAAUGUAAAGAUUCUUUAAUAUUUACAUUUAAUUGGGUUUUUGUUUUUCACCUGACACUGUAAACCUUUCAAUUGACUAAAAUUGUCCUGAUACAAAGAGGCUAAUGUUUUGGAGUCUUUCAACUUGGGUACAUAGUCGAAGAACCGAUGUAGAGUUUCUUUUCAUCCAGUUCUGACGUUAAGUCAAGCUAAAAUGGGAAAUUCUGGCCGGAUCCAGAGGGUCACAAACAAAGGAACCUUUUGUUGACUGACUGGAAGGAAAUGAGUUGAAGGUAAAGCUUUGACAUCUGGGGCCCCAUGCUUUCAGGGCUAAAAUUGGUUUUUAAGACAUCGAAUCUCAUGAAGAAACCUAUUUCUGAUAUUUCAUAUAAUCUGUGUCCACAGAACCGACCACUGUUAACUGUCCUGGAAAUAAAUUGUGAAAUCAACUAAAUUAAACUAAAGUAAAACAGAAAAACAGGUUGAAACCUGUUGAAACCACCAAACCAAGUACACCUCCUUCCAAGGACACAGGCUUCCCUUCAAAGUAAAAGUCUUUCAAAGAGCUAUUUCACGCUGCUUCGUCAUCUUCUGCAGGAACCAUCAGAAACUAACGUCCAUGAGAAGAACCUGAUGCUGAAUCACUGCAGGAAGGAAGAAUCCACCUACAGACUUCAUUGUGAAGCCAUGAUAAUAAUCAAACACAUUUUACAUGUUUUCUA